ncrna:Nicotiana tabacum cultivar TN90 Ntab-TN90_scaffold766, whole genome shotgun sequence
UGGAAAGAUUAUUGUAUUCGAUUGUAUUCACAGCAUGAAACAGGGGAUUAUACUAUUUUAAAUGGAAAGUGAAUCAAUUAACAUAAUAAACUCCU